rnacentral:lncRNA from 1 species
CUUCUUUCUGUUCUUAAGGUUUUAAGAAUCGAACUGCUUUAUGUGUCUGGAAGAGAAGAUGGUCUAGCAGCAACAUUUAAGCUUAGUGAUUUCCUGCUAAUUCAGGUUCCAACCACCUUAUAACAUCUAGCCUGAGCACCAGUGGGAUGGUUAACCAUCUGAUUAGCAGGUGAGUAGUAUUCACUGUGUAGUUCUCUAAUGCUAGGAAAGCAACGGUAUUUCCACACAGAUGUUGAUGGCUCACUUUGACCCUUACAAACCCUGGAGAAUAGAGAUGAGGGCCAAGGCCAGGAAUGAUGAGUCUGAGUGGGCAGGGAAGAAAGGAAUAUUAUUAGUCAAGGAGGUCUGUCAACAUUUGUUUAAGACUAAUGAGCAGAGGAAAAAAAUGAAAUGUAGCAAUCAGGAAGGAAAGAAAAAGAAAGUGGGAGGAAAAAGGAGCAAUGGCAACAUUACUUUAAAAGGAGAAAUAGCAUGUGAAGAAAAAAAUCCUUAAAUUCUAGUUUAAAUAUUUUAGAAGUCACAGAAAAUCAGCCAAGAACUAGUCCUUCAGGUCCCUGUUGAAGUGAAAAAAGAUGUAUACAGUACUUCUUGUGCAUUGCUAAAAGCCUUGAUAAUCAACAUCUACUAAUUAGUGUAAAUGUUGCUGAUCAAAAGCAACAAUAUCAAAGUGGAAUGAAGGGAAGAGGGGGAACAGGAAGAGGAAAGACAGUAAAAUGAAUUGGACAUUACUUUCCUAUGUGAAUAUAUGAUUAUCCGACCAGUGUAAUUCCACAUCAUGUACAACCAGAGGAAUGAGAAGUUAUACUCCACAUAUGUAUAAUAUGUCAAAAUAUAUUCUACUGUCAUGAAUAAUUAAUAACAACAACAAUCCCCCCAAAGCAAUCAUAUAUUAAAAUUUAAAUUGUGAUAAAGUCAAAUACUUUAAGAACAUAUUUUAUUUCUCUAAAUUUGAAAGUUAACCUUGGAAUAAAAAAUUUGAACUGUUUGUUUAGAGGUAUUAACUGAAUAUGAAGCAUUAUCAUAGAGGAAAGAUGAGAAAAAAAAGAAUGCACAAGGCAACAGAGCACCACUUUCUUCUUGUAAGGAUUUCUACAACAGUUCAUCGUAGAUUAUCAGGGAUUCCAACUUGGACAUGUUUAGGAACACUUUCCUGAUCCUUUAUCUUCAUAUAUUUGACAAUGCUUCCAUAAUCAAUUUCUUUAUAAAUCCACAUUUCAAACUACAAUUUGUAGUCCAAAUGUGUACAUUUACAUGUUGGAUGAUGAAGCAACAUUCUCAGUUAUUGUAUCAAAAAGUGAUUUUAUAAUUAUCUAAAUAUUUCAUUACAUUUUGUUCUUAUUAUUUUAGAAAAAUUAGUUGAGAUGAAUAGUCUAAUAUAAAUGUAGUAUGAUACCAACAACCUAGGCAAAAUAAAAACAGAUAAAAUUUCUGUGCAUCAAAGGGCACAAUCAGGAGAGGGAAGAGGCAACCUAUAGAAUGGAAAAAAAUAUUAGCAAAUUAUAAUAAUCAUAUCAGAUGUUAAUAUCAAGAAUUUAUAAAGAAAUCUCAUGACUCCACAACAACAAACAAUCCAAUUUAAAAAUGAGCAAAGGAUCUGAAUAGUCAUUUCUCCAAAGAUGGCAUGCAAGUAGUCUGCAAAUAUAUUAAAAAGAUGUCCAACACUACCAAUCAUUAGGAAAAUGUAAAUCAAAACCACAGUCACUUCCUUGAAACUCAUUAGGCAGGCUAUUAUUAAAACAAAACCAAAAACAAACCAAAAAAUGAGUGCUGGUGAGGAUAUGGAAAAGAUAGAACUCUUAUCCACUGCUGAUGGAAAUGUAAAAUGGUCAACCACUAUGGAAAACGGUAUGGCAGUGGUUUAAAAUUAAAGUUAGAAAUGCCAUAUGAUCCAGCAAUUUGACUUUUCAGUUUAUGUCCAAAGAGGUGAAAGCAAGAUCUUAAAGAGAUACAAGCACACCCAUGUUCUAGCAGCAUUAUUCACAAUAGCCCCAAGGUGAGUCAAUCCUAGGUCUAACAACAAUAUGGAUAAACAAAACACACAUACAACAGAAUAAUAUUCAGCCUUACGAACCUUGAGGUCAUUAUGCUAAAUGAAGCCAGUCACAAAACAACAAAUGUUGUAUGAUUCUACUCAUCUGAGGUAUCUCAUACAAACAGAAAGUAGAAUAGUGGUUGCUAUGGGCGGGGGACAGGAGAAACAGGGAGUUGUUGUAGAGAAUUUGAGUUUUAUGAGAUGAAAAGCUGUUUGUUUUCACAACAGUAUGAAUACACUUAACACUCCUGAGGAGUACACUUAAGAAUGGUCAAGAUGGUAAAUUUUAUGUUUUUUUUUUAAAACUGAAAUAAAGAGAAAAUGUAAUUAUGCAUAGGUCUCAUAAACAUAAUUAAGCAAAAAUGGCAAUCAUUGAAGAUUUUUAUUAAACUGUUACUGGAAGCACAUUUGAUUUAAGUCAGGUGUUAUAUGUGUCCAAUCACAAAGAAAAAUAAAAUAAUUAAAAAAUAUUUAUAAAUGAUACAUCAGAUAUUAUAUUAAAAAGAAGGAAUUACAUAAUGUUUUUGGGUAAGAGGGUAUCUUCUUAUAUAGCAUAGGUCUAUUUUUUUUUUUUUUUUUACUUUUUUACACUGCAUUUCCAUGUUGUUAGUUUUAUGUUUCUGUGACCAAAAUGUCUGACAAGACCAACUCAUGGUUUCAGAGAUUCAGUCCAUGGUAGGCUGACUCCCAUUGCUUUGGGACAAAGAUGGGCAGAACACCAGGGUGGAAGGGCUGCAGCAGAGGAAAGCUGUUCACCUCAUGGCAACUGGGAAACACAAAGAACAAGGACAAGGGGCCAGAGGGCAGAUGAACUCACCAGGGCACAUCCUCAGUGAUCCACUUUCUGUAGCCAUGCCCCUGCCUACAAUUACUACCCAGUCAGUCCAUUCAAACUGGGAUGAAAUGAUUAAGUUAUAUCUCUUAUAAUUUUUUCACCUCUGAAUAUUCCAGCAUUAACACAGGAGCUUUUCAAGGACACCUCAUAUCUAAACAAUCACACUUGUAAUUUUUGAGGAACAUAUUUUGUACAAAAUUAAGUAUUAUAAACGGGAAGUACAAACCUAGGGCUCAGAGGUCUAAAGCUAUGAACACUGCCACUCUCAAAACUGGAUCUGGUUCAUUUCUUUCUAUAUCCCCUAAACAACUAGCACCCUAUCUUCCCUGGUUAGCUCAUUAGAAAGUCAGGAUUUUUUCAGGUAAUCUCUUUUAUAUUAGCAGCUGACAAAAAGACCCAGUGUUAUAGAAAAGAGCUUCAAUGAAUAACAUUCUCAGCUCCAGGAUGGUUCUGGUAGGUUCUCACCCUCUUUCAAUCUAAUACCACCCCAGGCAACCCAUAUUCCCCACACUCUGGCACUCUCAGAAUUAAGUUGGAAAAAUCAAGUUAAUCCAUAUAGUUUCAGAUUAAAACAAUCCAAUUAAAAAAUAGUAUAAAAGAAAUUAGCUAUAAGCCUUUAAAUUAGCUUUGAGAUUUAAGUAGCAAGUCUAUUUAUUCCUGUACUCUCUAAGAUCUGGUUAUAUGCAUAAUACCAACAGUGAGACAAGCAGACAUGGAUGAAAGGUGUGGGAGGCAGUGCUCUGGGGCACCCAGGGACUUGUGGGAUUGCUUCUGGAACAUUUGUUACACUUAAAGGAUUUAAAAUGCUGACAAAGACUUUUCACCCACAGAUUGUAUUAUCUUACAAUAAUAUAGUAUGAAACCUGAAAUUGAAAUAUGACUAACAAGAAAUCUCUUUUCAUUUUGUCAUCCAAUCUUAAAUACCAAUAUCACAAAACUGGCUGCUGGUGUAGAUUCACUCAGCAUUAGGUUUUUCUAUAAAUGACUGGGUGACGAGGGCAGUUUAUAAAAAUGUAACAGCAUAUAAAAAUAAAAGGAUAACUAGGUAUAAUGGCAUAUGCCUAUAAUUUCAGCAACUUAGGGGGCUGAGAUAGGAGGACCACAAGUUUGAGGCCAGCCUGGGUAACCCAGCAAGACACUGUCUCAAAAUAAAAAAGGCUUUUGAUAGAUUCAGUCCCUAAUCCUGAAUAAACAGAUAAAUAGGUAGAUGAUUUCAAAAGAAAAAACUUAUUUUGGUGGUAGCUUCUGGAAAGGGGAAAACUGAGAGGUAUAUUUGGGAGGGAAACUGAUUUUCCACUGUAAACCCUAUUGUAAGCCUUUCAAAUGUUCUACGGUGCAGAUGUAAAACUUCACAUUAUCAACAUAAAAAGAACAGGAAGAAUAAAGUAGAUCUAGAAAUAUAGGUGGUUCUCAAUGAAUAGUUGCAGAGAAAGAGGUCCAUAAAAUAAUCUUAAGUGAAAAAAGCUAUAGAGGGGCUGGGGUUAGGGCUGGGGCUCAGCAACAGCGUACUUGCCUGGCAUGUGUGAGGCACUGGGUUCGAUUCUUAGUAAAUAAAUAAAUAAAUAAAAUAAAGGUCUAUUAACAACAAAAAAUAUUUUUAAAAAAAGGUGUAGAAGAGGUAUGUUCUAAUCCAAUGUGUCUUGAAAAGAAAAAAAAAUAAAGGUAUGUUCACAUAGAGAAAUGUCAAAUUGUCAAUAGUGAUUACUUUUGGGGCUUGCGUUGGUGGGACUUCCCAUUUUUCUUUGCACAAUAUACAUAUAUGUAUGUGUUUAUGUGUGUACACACUGUAUAUGUAUAACUAACAUAUAAAUGUAAUUAGAUAAUAUAACAGUCAUUCAGUGCAUAAUGACAAUUGGUUAACAAACUGCAUACAUGACAGUGGUUACAUGAUUGUGAUGGAGCUGAACAAUUCCCAUUGCCUAGUGACGUCACAGUCAUGCUUACAUGCCAUGUGUUUGUAGAGAGCUGAGUGCUGCUGGUGUAAACAAACCUACUGUGCUGCAUAUAAAAAUACUGCACACAUAAUUAUAUAUUGUAUAAAUACUUGAUAAUGACAAAUAACAAUGUUACUGGUUUCUGUAUUUACUAUACUAUACUUUUAAUGGUUAUUUUAGAGCAUAAUCCUGCUACUUAUUAAAAAGCAGGAGGCAUUGUUAUUAUAGGCAUUGUUAUUAUUAUUCCCCUUGAAGACCCAUCAGUGGGAUAAGAUGUAGUAGAGUUGGAGACAGAAAUGAUUGAUGAUCCUGACCCUGUGUAGACCUAGGCUAAUGUAUAUGUUUGUGCCUUAGUUUUAACAAAAAAGUUUAAGUAAAAAAAUAAAAAUUAAAAUUAAAAAGAGAAAAAGACUCAUAGAAUAAGGAUGUAAAAUCAGGAUAUAUUUUUGUUUGGCUCUACAAUUUGUGUUUUAAAGGGAGUUAUUACAAAUACCUCAAAAAGUUAAAAAUAAUUACCAAGUUCACAAAGUAAAAAAAAAAAAGUUACAGUAAGCUCAGGGUAAUUUAUUAUUGAAGAAAUAAAACUUUAAAAAAAUAAAUUCAGUGUAGCCUAAAUGUACAGUGUUUCUAGUCUACCACAGUGUACAGUAACAUCACAGGCAUUCACAUUCACUCACCACUCACCGCUUGCUCACUCACCCAGAGCAACUUCUAGCCCUGCAACUGUAUUCAUGAUAUAAGUGGUCCAUUUUUCAUUUUUACUGUUCCUUUUCUAAGUUUUUGUGUUAGUCCAUUUUUUGUUGCUAUGAUCAAAAUACCCAAAAAGAACAAUUUAGAGAAGAAAAUUUUUAUUUGGGCUCAUAGUUUCAGAGGUUCAGUCCAUGGUCAGUUAACUAUUGCUCUGGGCCAUAGGUGAAGCUGAAUAUCAUGGCGGAAGGGUGUGGUAGAGGAAAGCUGUUCACCUCAUGGCCAGGAAGCAGAGAGAGAGAGAGUUAAGCAUCAAGGCAAAAAUGUAAACUCCAAAGGCACUCUCUCAGUGACCUAUUUCCUCCAGCCACACUCUACCUUCCCAGUUAUCACCCAGUAUAGCAGUCCUUUCAAAUGAUUACUCUAGCAUAUGGAUUAAUCCACUGAUCAGACCUCUCAUAAUCUAAUCAUAAGAUUUUGGGGGACACUGUGUAUCCCUGAAUAAUUUGUGUAUUUUAACACACAAAUACCACUGUGCUACAACUGCCUACAGUAUUAAGUACAGUAACAUGCUGUACUGGUUUGUAACUUAGGAGCAACAGGCUAUACCAUAUAGCUAGGUGUGUGGUAGGACACACCUAGCUAUAGGUGUAUAAGGAUACUAUGAUGUUUUACAACAAUAGUGCCUCAUGACAUAUUUCUCAGAAAGUAUCCCUGUUGUUAAGGCAAGUAUUUGUAUGAAACUACACAACUGUCUGUUUUAUACUCAAAACAAUAAGCAACUGUUCAAAGGGGGAGAACCUUUAGUAAGAAUCUACUUUAAAACAUUUUUGUUCAAGAAAGAUAAAUAGUUAUAUUGAUUUUCAAGUAGUAAUUAAACUAAAUGGAAGCCUUUUCUCACUUUUUCUAUAUUCCUCCUUCCAAUUUCACAGUGUUCAUUAGAUUCAAUAAAUAAAUAUUUUGGCAAAAUCAAACACAUGAAGUCCAUUCAUCAACUAUUUAAUACAGGAAUUGAGAAGACUGUGCCUGUAGGAGUAAGAGGGGCAAUAUGUAUAAUUUCUUAAAAUUGCUUCAAAACUUUUUCUGAACUACAAAUAAUUUCAACUUAACAGACUAAAAAAUCAGCACAAAUUCAAAAGAAAAAAAUAUUUUAAAGAAACAAGAUUCUGACUUACAUUAUUUAUUCCAUGUUUUUAUAUGUUCCCUUUGCAUAAUUUAAUUCUUUUUCCAACACCAAUCAUACUUAACAUUAAAUAUCUGACUUUCUCAACAGAUUCAAAGCUCUAUAAGGGUAAGGUCCACAUGUCAUGUUCCCAUAAGUCUCAGGACCUGGAAGAAGAAUCUUUCAAACUUAUCCACUUUUGAAGAUAUAAACUUGAGCAAAAGAAGACACAAGAUUUUGCAGAUAUUCAAUGACAAAAUACUUCCCAAUAAUGAUUACAUAACUCAGCAAACAACAAGACCCACAUCGAGUUAAAAAUAUUCUAAGGAUGGAAGAAAAGGUUAUUUAUCUAAAUGAUCAGUGUGACAAAAUUAAAGCACAUGUUCUCUAAGUACAAAUGCCAAAGGCUCUAGAGUUUUGGCUACCUUAGGUUCUGAGUCAUAAAGUCAAAGCCUUAAAAAACCUAACAAGUAACUCUUGAAACAGAAGCAUGCUAUUACAGUCUUAAGGUAUGUUAUCUUUGCAAAGUUCUUAUUGACUAUCUCAGAAUUCAUUACAUUAAAAGAAAAACUUUUAAAAGGAACUAGGGGAUAGCAGAUAUCCUUAAACAACACAUAUACAGGUUAUGACAAUUCUCAAGAGGAAUCUAAAUCAUAAUACCCUUCAGUGAAUGUGUAUAAUUUUUGACAUAUCUUUACUUCACCAAUCCAUAAACACUGAAUUAAGUCUACUCAUAAACUUGUAUUCCAGUUUUAAGAGAAUUUUACCCAAGGUGAAAAGUUAUACUUUUAAAAAAAAAAUCAAAUCAAAACAAAAGAUUUCUGGCUAUAAAGAUGGCUAAUUAAAAGUCAUGUUUUAUUAUGCAAGCAUACACCUUUCUGUCAAAACAGGAAGGGUAAAAGGUAUGAACUUAUUCAUUAAUUAGCAGGCUAAUAACUCCACAGAGCAGGAAUUGAAAAACGUCUUCUGUAAAGGAUCAGUUAGAAAAUAUUUUCAGUUUUGUAGACCCUAUGGUUGUUGUCACUACUCCAUUCUGCUGUUGUGGCAUGAAACUGGCAAUAGACAAUAUAAAUGAUAUUAAAUUCCAAUAAAACUUUAUUUAUGAAUACUGAAAUAUAAUUUUAUAUCAUUUUCAUGCAUCAAAAAACCUUCUUUUGUUUUUUUAAUAAUUUAGAAAUGUAAAAACCAUUCUUUGCUUGUAGGUUACACAAAACCAAUUUGGUCUGCAAGCUAUAGUUUGUUAAACCUUAUCCUAAUCCAAGAGUUCAGUAAACCUGGUUUAUACAACUUACUAGCCACAUGACCUUGUCCUUACUCCACCAAAAUAAAACAAAACAAAAACAAAUACAGAAAUCCCCCCCAAAAACCAAAACAACAACAAAAAAACCCCACCAACAUUAAGCUCUUAAUUUCCAGUAGGAGUUGGAGACCUGUGCUACUGGUAUAAAAACAGUAGCAGAAACUAACUUUUAUUUUGAUAUUAUAGUGUUGCAAACUGUUCUAAGCAUUUUAUUGAAUGCUAAUUUAUUUAAUUUUCUUCAUAGCAAUAGGAUGAGUAUUUAAUGAAUCCCAUUUUACAUAUAAGAAAAUUUAGGCACAGAGAGGUUAGGUAAAUUAUUGAAGCUCACACUGCUAGUAAAUGUAUAGAUGAUGCUUAUAGACAGGUACAGGGUUCUGUUCUCUAACUUUAAAAUUUCUCCAUUCUUAAAGUUCCCAUUUCAAAUGCCAAUUCUCAGAAAUUAAAAUGCAUAAGAGAAUAAGAACAUGGAACAACACGUAAGAUAAUUAUAGCUCAUCAAUAAUGUAGAGCUAAUCUUUGGAUUGUGCCUGUACUGACCCUCAUUGUUAUACAAAAUUACAUAUAAGAGGUUGUGAGGGGAAUGGGAAAAAAAAAC